CAUGGCUACAACAGCUGCAGAGUCACCGUCUCUGAAUCAAAGUCUGGGAAGACCGAAACAACUCAGCAACCUGGAAAUUUCCAAAUGCCAGAUUUGAAUGAUGUGACCAAAGGCAUAGACCACAGGACAGACAGACAGAAGAAAAUAUAAAAGUAACUCUCUUUGAUGACCCCUGAUCCUGGAUGAGAGAAACAGUAACAUCAACAAAGGGACUGUUGGAAUGUAAGAAGAGCUGGUAUGAGUGAGGAAAUCAGAAAAAUUGAGCAAAUUAAAAAGAACACCACUUAUGUUUUUUGCAUUGGGAUUUAACAGCUAAAUAUUUAAAUCCUACAUGGUGUCUAAAGUUUAGGUUUUCACAACUGAUGUUAGUAUUCAGUGUUGAGCAUGUGACUGUAUGAACUACUGUUUACUGGAUCAGCUGAUUCUGGUGUUUCCAAAGUUUCGACUGAAUGAUCAGAAUGACUUUUUCAGUUGUAGCCAGUGACCAUGUUAAGAUGACCCCUCACUGCAUGUUUUAUAAAAUAGUAAUAAAAUCAUUUUUAUUCCCUUGCUUUUAA